GACGAACGCUGGCGGCGUGCUUAACACAUGCAAGUCGAACGAAGUGGCGAACGGGUGAGUAAUACGUGGGUAACCUGCCCUCCUUUUUGGGAUCAGCCUUGGAAACGGGGUCUAAUACCGAAUAAAGGGGGGUGGGCUCGCGGCCUAUCAGCUUGUUGGGGGGGUGAUGGCCUACGAAGGCGGUGACGGGUAGCAGGCCUGAGAGGGUGACCGGACAGAAUGGGAGUGAGAGACGGCCAAGAGUGCUACGGGAGGAGGAUGUGGGGGAUAUGGCACAAUGGGCGAAAGCCUGAUGCAGGGACGCCGCGUGGGGGAUGAAGGCGUUAGGGUUGUAAACCUCUUUGGCUAUCGAACGGGUAUGUGGAGAAGAAGCGCCGGCUAACUACGUGCCAGCAGCCGCGGUAAUUC
rnacentral:rRNA from 1 species